rnacentral:rRNA from 1 species
AACGAACGCUGGCGGCGCGCCUAACACAUGCAAGUCGAGCGAUGAAGACCCUUCGGGGUGUAUGAAGCGGCGGACGGGUGAGUAAGGCAUAGAUAAUCUGGUCCAGAAUGGGGAAUAACCGGUCGAAAGGCUGGCUAAUACCGCAUACUCUAGCUGAGUGAAUAUCAGUUAGGAAAGGCUUCGGCCGUUUUGGAAUGAGUCUAUGUAGGAUUAGGUAGUUGGUGGGGUAAAAGCCUACCAAGCCUACGAUCCUUAACUGGUCUGAGAGGAUGAUCAGUCACACUGGAACUGAGACACGGUCCAGACUCCUACGGGAGGCAGCAGUGGGGAAUUUUGGACAAUGGGCGAAAGCCUGAUCCAGCCAUGCCGCGUGCAGGAUGAAGGCCUUCGGGUUGUAAACUGCUUUUGUACGGAACGAAAAGGUUUGGGCUAAUAAGCUGAGCUCAUGACGGUACCGUAAGAAUAAGCACCGGCUAACUACGUGCCAGCCGCCGCCGUAAUAC